rnacentral:misc_RNA from 1 species
AUUUGUUAGCUGACUGGAUUGGUUGGCUACUGCAAGCCAUCUUCAAUUGAUAGUCUUCACCUAAAUGUAUCAAGAAGAUUCCUGAAUCAUCCCUAUUCACGUUUUCCACCGUUAGACAUGAUUCAGGUUAUUGCUGCUGAAGGCAGCUAGAAGCAUCUAGAACCCGUUAACUGACAUUUGUGAGUUGGUCAUUAUUGCCUAAUUUGUAACUUCUCAUGCUAGCAAAUAAUUUCCUUAUAACGCCCCACUACAAGUUAACUUCCACUGCAUGAUUAUUCUUAAUACACCAAAAUAAUAAUUAAAUCACAAAUUAACUUUAUAAAAAACUAUGAAAUUG